CACUCUGCUAAUUUUUAAAAUUUUUUCUUUAAACAUGGGGUCUUGUUAUGUUGCCCAGGCUGGCCUCAAACUCCUAGGCUCAUGCAGUCCCCCUCCGUUAACCUUCCAAAGGGCUGUGAUUACAGGUGUGAGCUACCAUGCCUGGUUGCAUUUUUGUAAUGCUAACAUUUUUUUUCAUAUAUUUAAGGGCCAUUUGGUGUAUUUCAUUUGAUAUGUUUUGGUUCAGUUGUCUGUUCAUACUGGGUUUUUGGUCCUUUCUCCCUUGAUAUUCAAAAGCUCUUUACAUAUUAGGGAUAUGUCUGUUGCAGAUAUUUUCUCACAGUUUGUCAGUUGUCUUUUGACUUUGUUUAUUGUGAUGGUGGUGUUGCUGUUUUACUGUUUGUUAUAUUUCAUUUUUGUGUGGUCAAAUUAUCUUUUAUUGCCUCUAUUUUAAGUUUUAGUUUCUACACUGAGAUUGGAGAGUAAUUUAGUCAUGUUUUUUUCUAGUAUUUGUAUAAUUUUAUUUUUUUGUACUUGGAUCUCUGAUACAUUUGGAGUUUAUUCCUUUGUGUGGCAUGAAAUGCGGAUCUAAUUUUAUUUAUUUUUUCCAACUGGCUUUCCAGUUGUCCUGGCACCAUUUAUUAAAAAGUACAACUUUGCCCCAGUGGCUUGAGAUGCCAUUUUCGUCACAUGCUAAAUUGCAUGGAAUCACCUGUAAUGUUCUCUUUCUGCUAUUUUUACUUUGUCAUGGUGUGAUUUGUCUUUUACUAUCUGUUCAUUGCCUGUGGCGACAAAUGUUUGUUCUUCUGAAAGAAUAAUUAUUGCAGCAAUAAUCUUGAAAGCUAAAGCAAUUUACCGUCUGUCUGUGUGUUUAUAAAACAGUCACCCAAAUUGAACUACAGCUCUGAGAUAUGACUCCUUUUGUCUAAAGUUAUCAGUGUCUGUUCUAUUGCAAAAUCAUUAGGCUGAAAUGAAGCUUUUUAAAAUUAGUCUCAGUGCUACUUUGGAACCAUUGUACUGAAACCUUGGAGAAUGGUCUUGUGAGAACUGGCUUUAUUAACGUUUAUUGUCUUUGACUCCUGGACUUGUUUCCUUCAUUUGGCUACUGGAUCUAGGUAGACAAAUUGUUAUACCAUGACUACUGUCAGAGUAGAUUGAUUAGAAUAAUAAGGUAAUUUAACUUUCAUGUGCACCUAUAUCCAGAGUACAAAGUUGCCUGGCAACAGUGAUGUCCUCAUUACAAUUCAGAAAACCUCAAAGUCCAGACACAAUUCUUCUAGAAUGAAUUUGCAUGCAAAGGAACACCAUCUCACAGAAUCCUUCUGUUUCCAGAAUAAAUGAUUAGCUCUUUAGAGAAAUAGAUUAAUAAAGACAAUGCAAUAUUGUACCCUUUCUCCCUCUUACAAGGCCAGUCUUAAGUAUUUGAUUAGUGCCAUAGAGCUGGCUUUACUUGCAAAGCACCCCCAAUUCUUGGGCUUCAAAUGUCAAAGUAUGUGGAAAGUGCCAUAGGAAUUUUAAUUCAAUGCCUUUGUUUUUUCUAUCUUUGGAAAUACUCAUUUCAAAGUGAUGAAGAAAGGUACAGAUAAAAAUGAAGCCAUGGCUUCUAUUAAAAUAUUUUUUUUCUUUAUAGUCAUGUUAUUCAUACCUUUGCCCUCUAGAGGGAGCAAGAAGGUUAUAGUUGUUAAGUAGUAAUAAUUCCUGAAAAAAUUCAAAUCUUACCCCCUUACCUCCCAAACCCAGAUGGAAAUUUGUUUCAGCAGGUGGGGCUGUUUCCUUGGGAACAGUAUUUCUUUCACCCCUCCUCAAGCUCCCUGCUUUGGCCCUUUUCCCCCGUAAAGGUAGAGAGGCCUGAGUUCUUUUCUCUCUGUUCCUUCCAGCAGCAAAAAUGUUAGAGAACAUGGCCAGAAAAUAAAGCAAAGUUUAAUUUGACUGGUUAGAGAACCAACCCUCCAGGUGGCUUCUGGGCCAAAAAGUUGCUAUAUCACAAGAUCCUUUGUUGUUGGAACAGUCCAAACUAUUAGAAAAUGCUGUUUCUUGUUGGUCUCCUGCUUCACAGGGAGUUUUCUCCAUGAUGACUGGUCCCAAAUAAAUAUUUCUAACUUUCUUUGGAACAAAAGCCUGUACAAUAAUGAUGACCUAGUUUAAACAUAUACAUUUUCUCCCUCCUCUCUGGUUAUUGCUCAAUUCAAAAUAGGUUUGUGGUACCUGAUUCUGGAUCUUAAAUGUUAUGCUGAAUUUGAGAGCUUGGCUUGAGGGAGGUUUGGGAGUGGUUGGGGUUUCUUCUUUGGCCUGACAUGGGCUGGCCUAUGGAGGCUUUCUGCCCCGGUGCCUUCCAUGCACAGACGGAGCCUUUCUUCUUACUGUACACUGGGCUUUACGUACCAUCUGUAUGCUGCUGAUUCCCAAAUUUUUAUCCUCAUCUCUUCUCAUCUGAGCGGCCUAUUUCAUAUUACUUGGAUAUCUCAUUGGAAUUUCAAUUUCACAGGUCAAGCAGAAUCCCUAACUUUUCCCACCACACACCAGUUUCUUCCCCAGGAUUCCCCAUUUCUGUAAAAAUGGACAACCAGUUGUCUGUUACUGACUUACGAGUCUUUUUUGGUUCCUCAGCUUUCUUUACCGCUAUUGUCUAAUCCAUCAGCCAAUUCUGUUCUACCUCCAAAAUAUUUCCUCAUCCUACUUCCUUUUACUUAUAUCUCCUGCCCUCUAUUCCACUGCCAACAGGUAUCAAGCUAUGGUUAUUUCUUACCUAGGACAUUAGAAUAGCUUCUUAGCAGGUGUAAUAAUGGCCAUGGUUUGGAAAAAUUUCAUGUGCUUUCCUUUUUCUUGAAUAUGUCUGCCUCUGAGAUGAGAUAAAUGAAUGCCAACUGAAAGGAAGAGCUAAGACAUCCAAAAAUAUAGUUCUGUGGAAAGACAGUAGGCUUAAAAACUAGUAGGGAGAGAAAGGAUUUUAUAAAUGUUUUUAUUUUUCAUUUUUGUAGCAAGGAACUAGGCCUGGAAAAUUAGACUAUAAAUUUCUACCAUAACAUAUAUUAAUAGAAUGUUCAUUCUAUUCACCAGUAAUGAGGCUGCAGUUCAGAAGUUGAGGGCUAUGAUAAUGAAGCCUGCAUUCCAGCCCGAAUAGAGUUUUGGAGAAGGAAGAGAGAAGGGGGUCAGAGGAGAUAGAUGGUGUGUCCAGCCUCAGCUGGGAAUGGAAGAUGCUUUGCAUUUCUUUAAAAUCUUCAGGCCAUGGAGUUGGGAUAGUUCAGGAAGAAUACCACAGAACUUUUAUGCCAUAAAGUGGCAGAUGCUCUGAGGACUGCGUUGGAAUGCUUGGACUGCAUUAAGAUACCAAGUUAUAACCACGAGUCUGCCAGAACUGUAAGACAAGAGCACAUGGUCACAGUGUGAGAGCCCUGUUUAGUUGAUUCUAGAAUGCACAUCUUCCCUAUCCUGCCAUCUCUGGGGAUCAACUGAUGAUAAGGCUCUGUGGAGAUACAGUUGUUAAUAAUGUCAUAGCAUUUCACACUGUCAUCAUGUCAGUUGAGUUAGGUGUAUUGUUGACACUGUAAGUAAUGAGUUUAAUUGCCGUUUAAAAGAUCCUCAAAAAAAUUACUCUAUGAUUUGGCAUUAAAAUGAAAAAUUACCUUGUGUGCAAAAAGGCAUAGAAACAGAGCAGCAGGACUUAAAUUUGAUAUUAGUGAAGCAGAUAUGAAUGGUUGGAGGAAUGAACACAAAAGUGCAUAAUUUUUGCAAAGUAACAACUGAAGUGCUUUCUGGAGCCUAAGAGGGUAAGAGCCACCCCUUAAGUAGAAGAAACUGUUAGUGAGUUUCACAGAAGGAUUGGCCAUCACAAGCCCAGCCAAAUGACAGCAGAAACUGCUGGCACAUCUUGGAUGGAUGAAAGAAACGUCAAAGCAAUCAGAGGCUUGGGUGACUGUGGAGAACUAUAGUUAAAGCAAUGUGUCAUGUCGUCUAAAGAACGGUGUUGCUCUUGAUGACUCAUAAGGCGUGCCUUAGGAUCAAUGGAAAAUGGUACAGAUGUAAGAUUAUAACAUUCAGGGUGCCACUACCAUUUUUACAGGAAAAGGAAGAGAGACCUAGUGCGUCUUUUGCUGGUGGUCCUAGUCUUUUGAGAAUCAGUACAGAGAUCAGCACAUGGCUGAUCAGGGACUGUGAGAAUAGGAGCAUCUUGUAUGCCUGUGGUGCAGCUUGCCCUAAUGACUCAGAAGAAACAGGAGAUAGGACAGGGUCAAGAGUAUGAAGGAACAGAACAAGUGUCCAGAACCUGUCCUUCUAGGCAUGUGAAUGUGAGAUAGACAAAAGAUUUUUUUUUAAAAGAACAUAGUUUUUUAUUUAAGGAAAGAAUUUGCAGUUUGGGGUUACUUCUUAUAAAACAGCAAAAAACUAA